rnacentral:rRNA from 1 species
GAUGCGGGGCAGACCAACAGGGAUUGCCUCAGUAACGGCGAGUGAAGCGGCAACAGCUCAAAUUUGAAAUCUGGCCCUCGGGUCCGAGUUGUAAUUUGUAGAGGAUGCUUUUGGCGCGGUGCCUUCCGAGUUCCCUGGAACGGGACGCCUUAGAGGGUGAGAGCCCCGUACGGUUGGACACCAAGCCUCUGUAAAGCUCCUUCGACGAGUCGAGUAGUUUGGGAAUGCUGCUCUAAAUGGGAGGUAAAUUUCUUCUAAAGCUAAAUAUUGGCCAGAGACCGAUAGCGCACAAGUAGAGUGAUCGAAAGAUGAAAAGCACUUUGAAAAGAGGGUUAAAUAGCACGUGAAAUUGUUGAAAGGGAAGCGUUUGCGACCAGACCUUUUCCUGGCGGAUCAUCCGGUGUUCUCACCGGUGCACUUCGCCAGGUCGAGGCCAGCAUCGGUUUCCGCGGGGGGAUAAAAGCUCUGGGAACGUAGCUCCUCCGGGAGUGUUAUAGCCCUCUGCACAAUACCCCCGCGGGGACCGAGGACCGCGCUCUAAGCAAGGAUGCUGGCGUAAUGGUUGUCAACGACCCGUCUUGAAACACGGACCAAGGAGUCGAACAUUUGUGCGAGUGUUUGGGUGUCAAACCCUCACGCGUAAUGAAGGUGAACGUAGGUGAGAGCCCUUACGGGUGCAUCAUCGACCGAUCCUGAUGUCUUCGGAUGGAUUUGAGUAAGAGCAUAACUGUUCGGACCCGAAAGAUGGUGAACUAUGCGUGGAUAGGGUGAAGCCAGAGGAAACUCUGGUGGAGGCUCGCAGCGGUUCUGACGUGCAAAUCGAUCGUCAAAUCUGCGCAUGGGGGCGAAAGACUUAUCGAACCAUCUAGUAGCUGGUUACCGCCGAAGUUUCCCUCAGAUAGCAGUGUUGUUCUUCAGUUUUAUGAGGUAAAGCGAAUGAUUAGGGACUCGGGGGCGCUUUUUUGCCUUCAUCCAUUCUCAAACUUUAAAUAUGUAAGAAGCCCUUGUUAC